rnacentral:rRNA from 1 species
GUGCAGCAGUCGAGAAAACUUCACAAUGUGCGAAAGCACGAUGAGGGAAUCCCAAGUGCUUGCUCGUAAGAGUAAGCUGUUUCUCUGUCUAAAACGCAGAGAGAGUAAGGGCUGGGUAAGACGGGUGCCAGCCGCCGCGGUAAUACCUGCAGCUCGAGUGGUGGCCGCUGUUAUUGGGCCUAAAACGUCCGUAGCCGGUUUAUUAAAUGCCUGGGUAAAUCGGACCGCUUAACGGUUCGAAUUCCGGGUAGACUGAUAAACUUGAGACCGGGAGAAGCUAGAGGUACUCCUGGGGUAGAGGUGAAAUUCUGUAAUCCUAGGGGGACCACCAGUGGCGAAGGCGUCUAGCUAGAACGGGUCUGACGGUGAGGGACGAAGCCCUGGGGCGC